rnacentral:misc_RNA from 1 species
AUAGCGCUUUGUGUCGCGAAGUCGUUGGAAAGUUCCGUGCUCGUGUGCCGCCACACUGAUAUAAAGAAGUUAUACAUAUACCAUCAUCUUUUUGUAGUUACACUCGCGACACUUUCAUUCAGAUGAACACAACGCAUAAACGCAUAAACGCCGAAAAACGUUGAAGCUAUGUUGUGACCCGCGAAUCGGUGGCGCUAUACGACGGAAACAGGAACGGAAAUAGCGCGGGUGCGACCGGUGCCCCGUGAAAUACGAACUACACACAAUAACACGCUAAAGUAUUUCAAUUAUCAAUGAUCUUUUACUUCAUCAUAAUAUUUUUUACUACAAAAUUAAUAUCAAUUCUUUAAAUAAUAAUAGUUGAAUUUUACAGAGUUGUAUACUGUAU